CACUGCACCUUCUUUUUACCUUGAUCUAGUACUGCGCCUACGUGUAUGUGCUCGUCGGUGUGUACAGCGGAUCAGCUGCAUUUCGAGCCACGAGCGCUGACGUCAUUGACUGCUACCGCUUCUACAAGAAACAAACUCGUGGAUACGCAGCCAUAGGACCUCUUUUUUUUUCCAGGCUCAGCUUCUAGUGCCACACCGCAGCAUACCCAAACCGAAGUACACCCUGAGCAUCUGGCUCUAGCCAUCGGUUCCUGCGACGGUACUCAGUGUACGCACGUUUGCGUCACCCCAUCACCGCCAUCCCCGCCGCAGCACAGAGAGACAUACCCACACCCUCUGGCAAGAAGCUCUGAAGACACCGGCUGCAAAAGCAAUGAGCUUCCUCGCGUCUCGCCGGCGCAACCGCUAUGACGACGAAGCCAGCAACGCGGCGUACAUGGACAACGAGCCCUUCCACGUCCUUCCGCCUGAGCGAUCAGCGACAGGCAAUUCGUCACAGUCUGACAGCAGCACGUACGGCUCGCAUCGCACCGCCGGUGAUGGCUCUGGUAAGUGCGACAUGCUUUCGAUGCAGCAUGUCAUGAACAUGACAGAAUCUCUGCAGAAGGAGCAGGAGGACCGAGAGGCUCGCGAGAAAGUCGACAAAGCCAGCGAGGCCGAGCGGAUGCGCCAGGUGCGAAACGCACAAUGGGAAGCGGUGAAGAAGCGCAUGAGCCAACGGGCAAUACCCUUGCACACCGUCCGAGCCUACGACAGCGAGGAUGACGAGGAGGAAGUGGAGCUAAAAUCAGUGCACACCGCGCUGAGCGCGCUCGUUCCCUCCCUGACAGAGGAGCGCGCCACGCGAUGCGGGGGAUUUCAGGCGGCGGAGACGAUGCCAGAGAGGUUCUGUCAUUUCGUCUACAACUGGCUCAUGUACUUUGUCUACGCAUUCUCUGCCUCGGCGUUGCCAGGGAUGGAUGCCAGCAAAGGAGCGGACUCGCGAGAGUACUUUGACCGCCGUGUCCGCUAAGGACGCGUGAUGUCAUCGUCGCCGUGCGCCUCUGCUAUCUUGGAUACCUCCCCAAACGCAUCUCUCCCCCUUUCUCUCAAUUCUCUGCGGUCUUGUUUGUGACUACCUUGGAUGCUGCUGUCUUUUUUUUGUUUCUUCUGUCAUGACCGCGUACAACUUCGGCCUUCACGAAGUGAGGAGCAGCGCAGCCGAUGGAGCUGAGAAAAACAGGGAUAGAUUCUGUCGUCAACCACCCCCUUCUCUCGCACUUCCAUGUGCCAUCUUCUUCCCAUCCUCUGCCAUCUGUCUGGAAAAAAUGUGUGUUUGAGGGCUGCGGUUUGUUUAAGGGAAGGGGAAGACCAAGUGUCUGCGUUUUUGCAGUGGCAUCCCUCCUUUUUCCUCGACCCUCCUGUGCUACGCAGCUUCUGGAUGUCUGCUGCCUUUGCUUGUCCUUCUCUCUUCGGUUUCCAUUACCAUCAUCGCAUUGCUUUCAUCUUUUGUUUUUAUUUUCCCAUUCGCUGAGCGCCCUUUGGCUGGAGAGCGCGGGAGUCUCGUGUGCGGGUGCGUGGGUUCGUCUCAUUGUGUGUACGCACAUACCCUGUUUUCUAUUGCAAAAAAAAAGAAUAUCUGUGCGGACUCUUUAAAAUCAUCUCUGAGGGAUUUGAAAGAUAAAGAGGGCAGAUACGCAAUGCCAAGGCGUGUGUGGUUGCUACGCUACUCUUUUUCUCUCGCUUGCUUUCUCUGAAGGCUUUCAGGGGAACGCCUCUCAGGCUGAUUGCCUCUCUCCUCUUUCGCCACUACAUCCGCUCAUUUUGUGUUUUUGGGCCCAGCUGCGCAUACUUGCGUUUGCUCG
rnacentral:misc_RNA from 1 species